UCCCCAGCUGUUGCUGGACUACAACUCUCAUCAUCCCUGAUUGCUGGUCCUGCUAGCUAGGGAUGAUGGGAGUUGUAGUCUAACAACAGCUGGGGA